GACGAACCGUGCGAACGUUGUUCGGAAUCACUGGGCUUAAAGGGCGCGUAGGCGGACCGGCGAGUCAGGGGUGAAAUCCCGCGGCCCAACCGCGGAAGUGCCUCUGAUACCGCCGGCCUUGAGGGGAUAGGGGCGUGCGGAACUUGGGUGGAGCGGUGAAAUGCGUAGAUAUCCCAAGGAACACCGGUGGCGAAGGCGGCACGCUGGGUCCCUACUGACGCUGAGGCGCGAAAGCCAGGGGAGCGAACGGG
rnacentral:rRNA from 1 species